rnacentral:tRNA from 1 species
GCGCCGGUGGUGUAAGGUGAAUAUCGCUGCUCGGAAAUCAGAAGAUGAGGGUUCGAGUCCCGCCUGGCGCA